rnacentral:rRNA from 1 species
UACGGGGGGGGCAAGCGUUGUUCGGAAUUACUGGGCGUAAAGGGCUCGUAGGCGGCCAACUAAGUCGGAUGUGAAAUCCCCAGGCUUAACCUGGGAACUGCAUCCGAUACUGGAUGGCUUGAAUCCGGGAGAGGGAUGCGGAAUUCCAGGUGUAGCGGUGAAAUGCGUAGAUAUCUGGAGGAACACCGGUGGCGAAGGCGAGUCUCUGGGCUGUAUCUGACGCUGAUGCGCGAAAGCUAGGGGAGCAAACGGG